rnacentral:tRNA from 1 species
GCCCUGGUGGCAUGGUGGUUAAGCACUUGGCUGGUAACCAAAAGGUCAGAGGUUCAAACCUAUCAACCGCA